AAACCGUCCCUCAGAAUACCGUCAGUAAUAAACCAUCUUUCAGUUUACCGUCAGUAAUAAACCGUCUCUCAGAUUACCGUCAGUAAUAAACCGUCCCUCAGAUUACCGUCAGUAAUAAACCGUCUCUCAGAUUACCGUCAGUAAUAAACCAUCUUUCAGGUCCCUCAGAUUACCGUCAGUAAUAAACCGUCCCUCAGAUUACCGUCAGUAAUAAAGUGUUGGCCAUUUAUUAUUCCUGACGCUGUUGUGAAUCACGAGCGCCGUCCGCGCGCUCCCGCUGGGGACACAGGCGCGUGCAGUUGUGCGCGCCUCCCGUUAGCAGUUGGAGACGGGACCUUGAGGAGGAGGAAUGGUGUCUGUUAGAGUCGUUUCAGUUUAGGCCGAACGGGUUGUGUUCGGCUCUGACCGAGGGGUUGUCCCUCCUCUGGCGGUUACGGGCCGGAGGAAAAGCAGCUCGGCUGGAGGAGCCUGGCUCAGAGCGUCGGAGAGAUGGCAGAGCGGGAAAAAUCCCCAUGGAUCAGGAAAGAGCGGUUCAAAGGAAAAGGCUUAUAAAGUUGUCAAAAAAGUUAGUAAACUUGAGGAUUGGGAGCAUUUUUAUAAUUCAGCAAAUGUCAAGUUUGAAGAAGAAAGAAUAUGGAGUCUGAAAGUGAACUAGCAAGAAACAAAAAUGGAUUGCAAACGCUUCUACAGAUGACAAAUAUCUUUAUCAGAUGUCAGCACACAAUUUGGAAAUUACAACUGAUGAAAAUUUACAGUAGAUUGGAAUGACCUUUUCCACAGGAGCGGUGCUUUGAUGUAUAGGAAGAAGGUGAUGUCCAUGACUACAUAUUCUGGUAGCUGUGUGAAUGAAUGUUAGACUGAUUUUUCACUGUCUAUGACAGCUACUUGAGCCUGAUUAUGAAGUCUACCACCAUAUGGUUUUCUAUCUCUGGGUGUGACCUCUGCUGAAACCAGCAAUCUAAGUGAAGAAUGAUGGAUUUUCGUCUAUGUACUAUAACUGUAGCAUUGAUUAAAAACAACUGGAUUUUGUUCUGUAAGUGUCAGUUCAUCCUGAAGUUAAACAUUAGAACAUCAUUGUCCUGUUUCAGUAGAGAUUUUGUAUUUUGAGCUGUUUUCAACAAAUUAUCCUUUUUAUAAGAAGAAGGGCUCAUGCCCGAAACGUCGAUUCUCCUGCUCCUUGGAUUGCUGCCUGACCUGCUGCGCUUUUCCAGCAACACAUUUUCAGCUCUGAUCUCCAGUAUCUGCAGUCCUCACUUUCUCCUAUCCUUUUUAUAAAGUCUAACGUGGUUGGAUGGAGAUGCAAUUUUCUCUGGAGUAAUACUGAAUGAAUUUAUUGAUCUCAACAGCAGUAAACAUUCAAUCAUGUGAAUUGUCUAAUGUUGAGCCCCGCCAUUGAAAUGAGAGUGGAUUGUGCAUUAUUACAUGGUAGAUUUUGAGGCACACUUAUCAAUGUGCUGAACCUCUUGUUUUGAGACAAAUAUACCCUUGAUUGACAACUGGCUGUUUGACCAGUGAUCAUUAAAAUUGAUUAAAUUAAUGACCACAUUCAGAAGACUUGUUCACUUUUAGCCAUUUUUAGCUUGUUAAUGAAAUAACAUUGCAAAGAUCAUUGUGAUUAUCACGAGACAUUGCCUGAGUGUUAAUUUUGCAGAGUUUCAUGGAGGAUUUCUCUUUGAAGCCCCAGCACAUUUUUUCUAUGCAAUCUUACCAAACUUGCCUUACUACAUCUGUACCAUCCCCCUAUGAUGCCCCAUUUGUGGUAUUCUCCCACUUCCACAGUUAGAAGUACUGCACACAGCUGUCACCUCCUAAGAUUACUGGUACCACAUUUUAAGCCAUGCAUCUCGUUGAGUGCUGGCAGUCUGCAGCUGGCCUGCAUUGUUUUAUUUUCCCCAGACAUGUCAGGCAAAGAGUAAUUGGCACCCUGCUUUGCUGAUGGGGAUUUGGAGGCCCUCCUGUACAGGAUGCUGUUUUCAGUCACUGCCCCUGGAAUGUUGUGGUGUAAAAUUCCAAGCAGUGGAAUGUGGUGAAACGGUUAAAAAUUAUGUCC